rnacentral:snRNA from 1 species
GUGCUUGCUUUGGCAGCAUAUAUACUAAAACUGAAACCAUUCAGAGAAGAUUAGCAUGGUCCUGCACAAGGAUGACAUGCAAAUGUGUGAAGUGUUCCAUACUGGG